CCCUUAGAUGUUCGGGGCCGCACGCGCGCUACACUGAAGGAAUCAGCGCGUCUUUCUCCUUGUCCGAAAGGACUGGGUAACCCGCUGAACCUCCUUCGUGCUAGGGAUUGGGGCUUGUAAUUCUUCCCCAUGAACGAGGAAUUCCCAGUAAGCGCGAGUCGUAAGCUCGCGUUGAUUACGUCCCUGCCCUUUGUACACACCGCCCGUCGCUACUACCGAUUGGAUGGUUUAGUGAGAUCCUCGGAUUGGUCCCGGCGCGGCCUCUGGUCGUGCCGGAGUGCCGAAAAGAAUGUCGAACUUGAUCAUCUAGAGGAAGUAAAAGUCGUAACA
rnacentral:rRNA from 1 species